rnacentral:lncRNA from 1 species
CCGAUCCAAGAAUAACUGCGCGAAUUGACCCCAAAUGAGGGGAGGAGAACAUGCUGGCCUACCAAGAACAUAGGACUUCCAUCAUCUACGGGCCCUACCCUUUAGCUAAAAAGUAGUGAAUUCAACUCUAUGUUUCUCAAAUAUCCUCAUGUUGUGCAGUCUGAACCUGCACAUGUCGAUGAAGUCCUGAGCUCACCCCUGAAGACUGGAGGGUGAAGUCUAGUCCAUCUGUCUAAUAGCUUGUACAAGUCACCAUCCACACCAGAGAUUCAGGUAAAGGGGUUCAUUUGACUCGGGGAGAAGGUGUUAGGUACUCCCCAAGUCCCGUGAAGGUCACGGUUUCAUACUCGAUCAAGUUGGCUAUUAAAAUAUUCGAUUGAGGUUAAACAAACACAGAAAAAUAGACACACAAAAAGGCUCGAGACCAUCCUCACCUAAUAAAAGAAAAUAAAAAGGAAAAGAAAAAAAAAGUCCUGAGCUAACUUAUACUACGACUUCUCCACGAUGCUCAUCAAGGCCUCCAAAAUACUUACAUAGUUCUUCGGGGCAUACCCCGGAUAAUAAUAUUUACAAACUUCACGGGACAUUCCUCGGAUAAAUUUAACUGACAACCUCUUACCUCAAAACUAACAAAAUCCUAAAGUUCGUUUACCCAAGUGUUGCCAACCUAAGCAUGCUACUAGCGGGUAAAUAUGAAAAAUAGAAAUAAAUAAAGCUAAAUGACACAUUCAUUCUACGUGACUCUCGAAUGACCUUUCAUAUUAUUUAAUAUAAUCAUGCCCAAUUCCUAUAACGUGAAAGAAGAUCAAUUACUACUCCCAUGACCCAAGAAUUUUCAACAGUCCGAGCAACAAGUCAAGCUACUUAGUUUUUGUUGACUUAAUUCUUUUUCCAUCAAGAUAUGGAUUGUGAAGCUUUUUAAAGAAGAUAACGAACCAUGGAAACCAGAACUCAGUUUAGUUAUAAAAAUUUAUCUAAGUAGAUUAAACCAAACAAUACACAACCAAUAAUCAACAAAAUCACACUGGGUUCACCAAAUACUACUAAGACAUACCGGAACAGAGGAAUAAAAAAAAGAAGAGAACACCAAUUAACAAGGCCAUAACAAAAAUAGAAGCAUGAUGUUAAGCGAGUGAAAAGUCUAGAGAACAAAGAGAAAAUAAACCUUGAAUUGCGAUCGAACCGCAGAUCAAAUUUUAACCGGAAAGCCUUGCUUGAGAAAACCUCGGACGGCGUCUUCUUAAUCGAACUCCACGGUUUGAACACACUAAAAUUCCAAAAUUGAAACCAUUACGCUAAUGUUUUCUCUAACGAAAAAUCAGCAAUUACAAGUCUUUGAAUUCAGAACUCGAAGAAGAAAAUAGUGACAAGCAUCGGAGAGGAAACGCGAACAGAACGAUGGGCGAUAGCAAAUUCAAACCAAACUCCGCACCUCAAUCGCUCAAACCUCAAAUAACCUCCAUUUUCUGAAACUCGAAUUUCCAAUAAACAUGUCCGGUUAUGAUACAAGCCAAAAAUCGAACGAUGAACUCAGUAGGGACCAAAUGAAACAGUGACGAUCGAAUCUGGAACCACGAGCUCGAACCACAAACGACAACCAGAACUUCAAACAAGCACCACCAAAACUCAGUCACAUUCCAUUCUUAAAUCAAAAUCGGAAUCCCAGAGAAGAAACGAACUGAUUUUUUGUGUUUUUCUUUAAUAAUUUUCUGACUUUUAAAAAUAAAACCAGAACAAGAACCAACUCAUCUUUUUUGAUGACCCCUUUUUGUGAAAUUUCCAAACGAAAAAGAAAAGAAGAAAACUAUGCCAAAACGAACCCUAGAGCUUUUUCUCCGAAAUUCUUUUUUCAUUUUUUUCUAUCAAGAAAACCUCAAAAUAUAAAUCCCCUCUCGAAUCUUCUUCUCCUCUUCUCCAAGAAAUCUCGUGUGGGGACCUCCACAAAUUUGAAAAUCCCUUUUUGUAAAUAAAAAUCAGAAAAAUGGAAAUUUUGGACAAAGAAUGUUCAUCCAACUAUCCCCAUUCCUGCAAGAUUUAUUUAAGGGUCCGAAUUUGCUUCCAGAUUGAACGAAAAAGAAAGAAAAAUGCGUUCUUCAUGAUUACGAACACGUGGAAGAAGGAAAUAAGUGUAGAGAUGGGAAUAUGGGGUGACCCAUUGGGUGAACUCGCCAGGUUUGGGGCGAGUUCCGGCAAGUUGGGAGGCGGGCAGCGAUGGAGGGGUGGCGGUUGCUGGUUUUGUUAGUUUUUAGAUUAGGGUUUUUUGGGAGGAUAUGGGGAUUUUGUAUGAAUGUGAGGGGAUUUAACAUGGGCCUUUGGAUUAAUUAAAUCAGUGGCUUGGUUUAAAUGGGGAUUUUGGGCGGGUCAGUCUGGUAAGGAACUGGGUCGACGGAUUAGGU